rnacentral:rRNA from 1 species
UAGGGAAUCUUCGGCAAUGGGGGCAACCCUGACCGAGCAACGCCGCGUGAGUGAAGAAGGUUUUCGGAUCGUAAAGCUCUGUUGUAAGAGAAGAACGUGUGUGAGAGUGGAAAGUUCACACAGUGACGGUAACUUACCAGAAAGGGACGGCUAACUACGUGCCAGCAGCCUCGGUAAUACGUAGGUCCCGAGCGUUGUCCGGAUUUAUUGGGCGUAAAGCGAGCGCAGGCGGUUUAAUAAGUCUGAAGUUAAAGGCAGUGGCUUAACCAUUGUUCGCUUUGGAAACUGUUAAACUUGAGUGCAGAGGGGGAGAGUGGAAUUCCAUGUGUAGCGGUGAAAUGCGUAGAUAUAUGGAGGAGCACCGGUGGCGAAAGCGGCUCUCUGGUCUGUAACUGACGCUGAGGCUCGAAAGCGUGGGGAGCAAACAGG